CAGAGGUCUCGAGCGUUAGUCGGAGUCACUGGGCUUAAAGCGUACGUAGGCGGAUAUGCAGGCGUCGUGUGAAAUCCCUCGGCUCAACCGGGGAACUGCACGGCGAACCGCAUGUCUUGAGAUCGGUAGGGGCUGUCGGAACGAUAGGUGGAGUGGUGAAAUGCGUUGAUAUCUAUCGGAACGCCGAAGGUGAAGACAGGCAGCUGGGCCGAUUCUGACGCUGAGGUACGAAAGCGUGGGGAGCGAACGGGAUUAGAUACCCCGGUAGUCCACGCCGUAAACGAUGUGCACUAGAUCGAGGAGGUUCUGACACCAUUCUCGGUCGAAGUAAAAACGUUGAGUGCACCGCCUGGGGAGUACGGUCGCAAGGCUA
rnacentral:rRNA from 1 species